CCUACGGGUGGCUGCAGUGAGGCAUAUUGGUCAAUGGACUAGAGUCUGACCCAGCCAAGUCGCGUGAAGGAUGACUGCCCUAUGGGUUGUAAACUUCUUUUAUAUGGGAAUAAAAUGUUCCACGUGUGGGAUUUUGUAUGUACCAUAUGAAUAAGGAUCGGCUCACUCCGUGCCAGCAGCCGCGGUAAUACGGAGGAUGCGAUCGUUAUCCGGAUUUAUUGGGUUUAAAGGGAGCGUAGGUGGAUUGGUAAGUCAGUUGUGAAAGUUUGCGGCUCAACCGUAAAAUUGCAGUUGAAACUGGCAGUCUGGAGUACAGGAGAGGUAGGCGGAAUUCGUGGUGUAGCGGUGAAAUGCGUAGAUAUCACGAAGAACUCCGAUUGCGAAGGCAGCUCACUGGACUGCAACUGACACUGAGGCUCGAAAGUGUGGGUAUCAAACAGGAUUAGAUACCCGAGUAGUC
rnacentral:rRNA from 1 species